CGCGAACGGCUCAUUGUAACAGCUAUAAUUUACUAGACCUUGAGCAACUACUUGGAUACCUGUGGUAAUUCUAGAGCUAAUACAUGCACCGAAGUUGUUCCUCGCGGAGCAAUGCAUUUAUUUGAGCAAAACCAGGCGGCUUCGGCCGUUUCUGUUGAUUCAGAAUAACUAAGCUGAUCGCAUGGGCUUGUCCCGGCGAAGUGUCUUUCAAGUGUCUGCCUUAUCAACUUUCGAUGGUAGUGUACGUGACUACCAUGGUGUUGACGGGUAACGGAGGAUAAGGGUUCGACUCCGGAGAAGGGGCCUGAGAAAUGGCCACUACGUCUAAGGAUGGCAGCAGGCGCGCAAAUUACCCACUCUCGGUUCGAGGAGGUAGUGACGAAAAAUAACAAGGCCGUUCUCUUUGAGGCCGGCCAUUGGAAUGGGUACAACUUAAACCCUUUAACGAGUAUCAAUGAGAGGGCAAGUCUGGUGCCAGCAGCCGCGGUAAUUCCAGCU
rnacentral:rRNA from 1 species